UUGGUGGAGUUCUGGAAAAUUAGAACAAAUGAUUUAGAUUUUAAAACUAAUUUUGAAAAUAUGUAUUCUGAAUUUUUCAAGAUAGAUUGGUCCAUGCAUGGUCCGUGAAAGAACCAUCAAGGAAAUUUCUAAAUACGGAACACGAUGGUGUUGGUAGCACUGUUGAAGGACAUUUGUCAAAGUCAAAUACGUCAAGCUGUCAUUAAUGUCGCUAUCCUUUCCUUCCUUUUCCUUUUUAACUUAACACACGUUUGCAUAGGUAGGUCAAAAUGACCAAAGGUACCUCAAGUUUUGGUAAACGUCGCAAUAAGACCCACACCCUAUGCAGGAGGUGCGGUAGAUCUUCAUACCACAUCCAAAAGUCACAAUGCGCUCAGUGUGGCUACCCAUCUGCAAAACUACGUUCCUACAACUGGUCCAUCAAAGCCAAGAGGAGGAAGACCACCGGAACUGGCCGUCUCCGUCAUCUUAAAAUUGUACGCAGGCGUUUCCGUAAUGGAUUCCGUGAAGGUACUAAACCAGUUAAGAAAUCAACGUAGAUUUAUUAAUUUUUUUUUGUAUAAGAACAAAUAAAAAAACUGUUUAGUUUA
rnacentral:misc_RNA from 1 species